AGCAAAGCUUCCUUAGCCCAAGACUAAGGCAGAGCUCCCCAGCUGACCUGCAGAUAAUUGAGUGAACCAAGCCAAGAUCAGCAGAGCCACCUAGCUUAGCCCAGCCCAACCUCGAUCCACCAAAUUCCAGACAACUCACAGAUACGAUCUCAUCCAGAAUCCCACAUUACAUUAAAUCAUCACGUCUCCUUAGUCUCCUCCAACCUUCUCAGUCUUUCCUUGUUUAUCGGCACCCUGGAAGUUUUGAGUGCUGGCCAGGUAGGAUUUGCUCUGGGGCAAGUCAGCUGCUGUGUUGUGAAGACACUCCAAGACAACUGUGGAGGGGACCCACCCUGCCAGCCACGUGAAUGAGACUCCCUGGAAGCAGAUCUUCCAGCCCCAGUUGAGCCUUCAAGUGACCACAGCCCUGACACGUCUGACUGAUCCUCAUGAGAAAUCUCAAGCUAGAGCUAUCAGUCCACCUGUUUCCAAAGUCCUGGCCCGCAGAAACUGUGACAGAAAAGAAGUGCUUAUUAUUUAUAUAAGUUACUAAAUUUGGGGAUAAUUUGUUACACAGCAAUUAGAUAAUGAAUACAGAAACACUCAGAAAAGUAUUCGAAAAAACAAAACUUCAAAUUUUACAAUUCCAAAAUAAACUCAUUAUAACUUGAAUAUAAUCCCUUCUUUUAAUGCUUAACCGUACUUAAACUAUGUCUUUGUAUAAUUUAAAAAAAUAAAACUGGGAUCAUAAUUUAUUUCACUUUUAUAUACUGACAUUUUCCCCACUUAGUGUGUAAAUAAAUUGUAGAUAAUUUAUCCAUGUUAUUAGAAAAUUCUUCAGAAAUGUAAGUUUAAUGGUUCUAUAAUAUACUAAAUGGAUAGUCCACAAUUCAGCCAAAUCGUUGGACAUUUAAAUUGUGUGAAUUUGUGCUGUUAUAAAUAUUACCACAAAAAAUACCUUUGAAAGGGACAAUACAGGAAACUGCUGGGAGCACAGGUUGGAAGCUCGUUUUGUGUAGGCAUGUUCUAAUUCUGCCCCUCCCUAGCUCUACGGCUUUGAGCAAGUUCCUUGGUAUCUGUGCCUUGUUUUCCUCUCCUAUAAAAUAAGGAAUGAAGUACCCUUGCUGGUAUUUACUAUUAUUUUUUGUGGUAAAAUUUACAUGACAUUUACCAUUUUAACCCUUUUUAAGUGUACAAUUUAGUGGUAUUAAGUACAUUUUCAUUGUUAUAUAACCAUCACCACCAUCCAUAUUAAAACUCUUUCAUCAUUCCAGACUGAAACUCUAUACCCAUUAAAUAGUAACUCCUCAUUCUCUCCUCUGCCCAGCCCCUGGUAACCACUAUUUUACUUUCUGUCUUUAUGAAUAUGACUAAUUUGAGUACACUAUUUGUCCUUUUUGAUCUAGCUAAUUUCACUUAAUAUAAUGUCAUUUUUAAAAUGCUGAAUAAUAUUCCAUUAUAUAUCUUGUUUCAUAUAUUAUA
rnacentral:lncRNA from 1 species